AACCUCCGCAAUGUGAGAAAUCGCGACGGGGGGAUCCCAAGUGCCAUUCUUAACGGGAUGGCUUUUCAUUAGUGUAAAGAGCUUUUGGAAUAAGAGCUGGGCAAGACCGGUGCCAGCCGCCGCGGUAACACCGGCAGCUCUAGUGGUAACAAUUUUUAUUGGGCCUAAAGCGUCCGUAGCCGGUUUAAUAAGUCUCUGGUGAAAUCCUGUAGCUUAACUGUGGGAAUUGCUGGAGAUACUAUUAGACUUGAGACCGGGAGAGGUUAGAGGUACUCCCAGGGUAGAGGUGAAAUUCUGUAAUCCUGGGAGGACCGCCUGUUGCGAAGGCGUCUAACUGGAACGGUUCUGACGGUGAGGGACGAAAGUUAGGGGCGCGAACCGGAUUAGAUACCCGGGUAGUCCUAACUGUAACGAUGCGGACUUGGUGUUGGGGUGGCUUUGAGCUGCUCAGUGCCGAAGGGAAGCUGUUAAGUCCGCCGCCUGGGAAGUACGGUCGCAAGACUGAAACUUAAAGGAAUU
rnacentral:rRNA from 1 species